rnacentral:tRNA from 1 species
GGGGGCAUAGCUCAGUGGUAGAGUGUUUAGCAUGCACGAGGUCCUGGGUUCAAUCCCCAAUACCUCCA